rnacentral:rRNA from 1 species
UACGGAGGGUGCAAGCGUUAAUCGGAAUUACUGGGCGUAACGGGUGCGUAGGUGGUUCAUUAAGUUAGAUGUAAAAACCCUGGGCUUAACCUGGGACUGAGAUUUAAUACUGGUUAACUUGAGUAUGGGAGAGGGUAGUGGAAUUUCCGGUGUAGCGGUGAAAUGCGUAGAGAUCGGAAGGAACACCAGUGGCGAAGGCGGCUACCUGGCCUAAUACUGACACUGAGGUACGAAAGCGUGGGGAGCAAACAGG